UACGAAGGGUGCAAGCGUUGUUCGGAUUUAUUGGGCGUAAAGCGCGCGUAGGCGGACCAGCAAGUCAGGUGUGAAAUCUCGGAGCUCAACUCCGAAACUGCGCCUGAAACUAUUGGACUAGAAUACCAGAGAGGGAAGAGGAAUUUCACAUGUAGGGGUAAAAUCCGUAGAGAUGUGAAGGAACACCGGAGGCGAAAGCGUUUUCCUGGAUGGUUAUUGACGCUGAGGCGCGAAAGCGUGGGGAGCAAACAGG
rnacentral:rRNA from 1 species